UACAGAGGUCUCAAGCGUUGUUCGGAUUCAUUGGGCGUAAAGGGUGCGUAGGUGGCGGGGUAAGUCUGGUGUGAAAUCUCGGGGCUCAACCCCGAAACUGCACUGGAUACUGCCCUGCUCGAGUACUGGAGAGGAGAUUGGAAUUUACGGUGUAGCAGUGAAAUGCGUAGAUAUCGUAAGGAAGACCAGUGGCGAAGGCGACGUGCUGGGUUGCGACUGACGCUGAGAUGCGAAAGUGUGGGGAGCAAACGGG
rnacentral:rRNA from 1 species